rnacentral:rRNA from 1 species
UACGGGGGGAGCAAGCGUUGUUCGGAUUUACUGGGCGUAAAGGGCGCUUAGGCGGCCACCGCAAGUCAGUUGUGAAAUCUCUGGGCUUAACCCAGAAAGGUCAACUGAUACUGCGGGGCUAGAGUGCAGAAGGGGCAACUGGAAUUCUCGGCGUAGCGGUGAAAUGCGUAGAUAUCUGGAGGAACACCGGUGGCGAAGGCGGCAUCCUGGACCGGUAUUGACGCUGAGGCGCGAAAGCUAGGGGAGCAAACGGG